CAAGAGACUGAUGGCGAUAGUGACAGUGAUGGUGACUAUGUGCCACCAAUUUGUGUGCGAAGUGGCGGUGCCUUGGCCAACAAAAUUGACUUGAGGCAAUAUGAAGAAAUUGCCAUGGAAGACACUGUACAUGACGUAUCGGGGAUCGAUCUCGAGGAGGAGGAGGAGGAGGAAGAGGGAUCAGCAAAGCUUCCAGAUCAACGUGGACUUGAGUUCAUAGGAGAACCGGCUUCCAUUGCAUACCAUCAUUGUCUGAAAGAGUUGGCCGAAAGCCUGAUUCUGCCUAUCUCAAAGUGCAAGACUAGGGAUAAAUACAGCUCUGUUGAGUGCCAGUCACCUGGACCCUUUCGGGUGACUGUAAAAUCCAGAGCCACUGCUGCAAUUAUUGAGUGGAUUUGUCCCUUUGGCCAUGUUGUUUGGCGCUGGCGCUCUCAGCCUACUUUAAAGUAUGGCUUGCAAAUUGGCGAUUUUAUGUUGGCCACAAACAUACUUUUAUCUGGGAAUAACUAUGGGAAGGUGGCUUUGUUGUUCAAGUUUAUGAACAUUGGCAUGGUGGGGAAGAACACAUUCUUCAAAAUCCAAGACACAUACUGCGUGGACACCAUAGAAGACUUCUGGGAGGAGAAGCGGAAGGUUAUUAUAUCCCGCCUACAAAACAAACCAGAUUUAGUUGUGCUUGGU
rnacentral:lncRNA from 1 species